AUGUUGGGUUAAGUCCCGCAACGAGCGCAACCCUUAAGCUUAGUUGCCAUCAUUAAGUUGGGCACUCUAAGUUGACUGCCGGUGACAAACCGGAGGAAGGUGGGGAUGACGUCAAAUCAUCAUGCCCCUUAUGAUUUGGGCUACACACGUGCUACAAUGGACAAUACAAAGGGCAGCUAAACCGCGAGGUCAAGCAAAUCCCAUAAAGUUGUUCUCAGUUCGGAUUGUAGUCUGCAACUCGACUACAUGAAGCUGGAAUCGCUAGUAAUCGUAGAUCAGCAUGCUACGGUGAAUACGUUCCCGGGUCUUGCACACACCGCCCGU
rnacentral:rRNA from 1 species